UACGGGGGGAGCAAGCGUUACUCGGAAUUAUUGGGCGUAAAGGGCGCGUAGGCGAUUCGAUAAGUCUCAUGUGAAAUCCCAGGGCCUAACCCUGGAAUGGCAUGGGAUACUGUUGGAUUUGAGUUCCGGAGAGGAAGGCAGAAUUCCCGGUGUAGCGGUGAAAUGCGUAGAUAUCGGGAGGAAUACCAGUGGCGAAGGCGGCCUUCUGGACGGAUACUGACGCUGAGGCGCGAAAGCCAGGGGAGCAAACGGG
rnacentral:rRNA from 1 species